UGAGGACAAAGAGAUUGGAUAUGCGCGUUCCCGCGAGCACGCUGUUUUUUCUUUUCCUCCUUGAAUGAAUACACUAUUGUCCGGGUUGGAAUAUUAUCGCAAUUCUACAUUAAAAAUACCAUAACAAUUUAUUUUAAACAGCGUUUGACAUGCUUCUAAGUACGGUAAUGGAACAUUUUGACUUUUUGUGUCUCGAAUUGCGCUCGCGCAUUACCUUUUGGAUAGUGACACAGAUUAAGGUCAUUCUGUGCCUUCCAUGUAUUUUGCCAUACUAGUAGAUUAAUAUAAAGAGCAAUCUAAACGAGAACUUAUUGCUGUGUGCAUCCGAUACAUUCAUACUGGAAUGAUUAAAGAAAGAGCUGUUGGGUUUAUGGAAACCGCUGAUUUGUCUGCACAAGGAAUUUCUCUGAAAAUACUUGAAGUGUUGCAACCCCUGGAGUUGGAUCCCACUCUGUGUGUUUUUUGUUGUUGUUGAUGGCGCUUCAGUCAUGUCAGGGAACAGAGGGGUACGUGUCCUACUAAAGCAAUCAUUUAAGCAAGCAUUAUAUGUGCAUUGCAACUCCCACCGUUUUUGAAUUUGGUUCUGUACACCGCGGCAAAAGUGUCGACAUGUCAGUUCUUUUUUUGACACAGUAAACCAGCGACACACAUUUAUGAGUGGAUCCCACAGACAUGCUCCAUUCAUAGAAGUACAGAAAGAGUUGCAUCCUGAUAGACCAUGUAUCGAGCUAGAAAGACGCACGGCUGUACGUUGGAGUUCAAAAUCAGGGUCUGUGAGUAAAAUGCUGUUACUGCUAGAUGUCAUUUUAGAAGUUCUUGCAGAUUUUUCAGAGGCUUGUGGACAAACCAAAUUAGAAGCCGAUGCCCUCUUACAACAAAUCCAGAACAAUACGUUUUUAUUCCUGUUAGUCACAUUUAGUAAAUUGUUUGACACUGGUGAUCUUGCUAUCAAGAGAUUACAAAGCUUUACAUUAUCUGUGACGGACUAUUUUGGUUUAAUUGAAAUCCUCAAAAGCAGCUUUUCUACGUUCAGAGAUAACUCAGGGAGAGACUUUGAUAAAUUUCUCAAGCUAACUGAAGAGAUGAUGAUUAAGCAUGAUAUUAGUAAUUGGGAUGGGAGCGCAUCACGGCAGUGAAAACUGCCUGUAAAAUUGGCAGACAGCGUAGUCACAACUUCAUUAGGGAAAACAUCCAGCUUCAAGAGUGACAGUGAGCUGAGGCAACUUUGGAACAAUAUUCUAGACAGACAGAUUACCGAGUUAAACUCAAGAUUUCAAGAAGACGCAUAUGGGAUCAUGCAAGCGGCAGCCUCCUUUUCCAAAGAUUCCCAAACCUGCCUUAAAGAGCAGCUGAAGACCACAUGCGAUCAUUAUGCAAUAUCAGUUGAGGAUGCUGAAUUCACUGUUUUUAUUCAGCAGUUGAGUCGCAAAAUAAACUUUCCUCCAUAAUGAGUGUACUUGACUAGCUGCCCUGAUGAUAUUUUCCCUAAUAUAAACUCUCUGUUAAGGAUCAUUGUUACACUUUCAAUGACAAUGCGGUGUGGAGAGACUUUUCUCAAUGACAAGCGCCCGGCUGAACCACUUCAGUUUGCUGUCUUUUGAGCGUGAACUGACAGAUACAUUGGAUUAUGAUGAAAUCAUCACCACAUUCAACUCAAAGCCUCACCGUCUGCGCCUUGUAAUGUAGGUCACACCUUAUGAUACGUCUACUAAAAGGCUACAAGUGAGGACAGACACAUCGGGGACGCGACUACGCACGUCCUUAUCCAAUUCUGAGGUGCAUAUUGAAGACAUUGGAAGAACUGUCCACAUUUACUUUUCGUCAGCCAACAAGAUGAGUAGGCCUAACAAACAGCAAAAGCAUUAGCCUAUGUCAAUCUACUGUUCCCCAUAGUACAAAAGUUGACCUUUUCUAUCCUGUGCGAGAAAUGAAUAUUCCAAACAUAGUCUGGGACAGUUGUGGGAUGCGCUAGAUCCCAAAUUAAUACAACCACUAACAGAAAAAAAACUAUUUUACUCAAUGAAGCUGACAUAACAGAUCAGAAUGUUUAGCUUAAAAUGUUGAUAAACUAUUAUUACAUCCCUCUAGUGGUGUGGGGGCUGUGCUUUGGCAAAGUGGGUGGGGUUAUAUCCUGCCUGUUUGGCCCUGUCCGGGGGCCACAGUGUCUUCUGAUCCCUCCUGUCUCAGCCUCCAGUAUUUAUGCUGCAGUAGUUUAUGUGUCGGGGGGCUAGGGUCAGUCUGUUACAUCUGGAGUAUUUCCCUUGUCUUAUCCGGUGUCCUGUGUGAAUUUAAAUAUGCUCUCUCUAAUUCUCUCUUUCUCUCUUUCUUUCUUUCUCUCGGAGGACCUGAGCCCUAGGACCAUGCCUCAGGACUACCUGGCAUGAUGACUCCUUGCUGUCCCCAGUCCACCAGGCCAUGCUGCUGCUCCAGUUUCAACUGUUCUGCCUGCGGCUAUGGAACCCUGACCUGUUCACCGGACGUGCUUGUUGCACCCUCGACAACUACUAUGAUUAUUAUUAUUUGACCAUGCUGGUCAUUUAUGAACAUUUUAACAUCUUGACCAUGUUCUGUUAUAAUAUCCACCCGGCACAGCCAGAAGAGGACUGGCCACCCCUCAUAGCCUGGUUCCUCUCUAGGUUUCUUCCUCGGUUUUUGGCCUUUCUAGGGAGUUUUUCCUAGCCACCGUGCUUCUUUCACAUGCAUUGCUUGCUGUUUGGGGUUUUAGGCUGGGUUUUUGUACAGCACUUUGAGAUAUCAGCUGAUGUACGAAGGGCUAUAUAAAUACAUUUGAUUUGAUUUGAUUAGGCUAUUUCUUCACAUUAUAAGUGCAGCAAUGUAACAUGGCUGUAGGCUAUAAGCGUGAAUGUAUCAUUAGCAGGAAUACCCCAUUAUCAAAAGUGACCGCAAAUGUGAUUAUGCAUGUAACGCUUUUAUUAUAAAGGUGCAUUUUUAUGGUGAAAAGGAUCUUCCCCAAACUUGAAACUCACACGCUGCUUAUGUAUGCCAGUUAGGCUCUACACCCCUUGUAAAGUGGAUUCAUGUGCUUAAUUUUAAGAAGUUAUUUGGACACUUUAGUUGUGAUACAAGCAUCAAAACAUAUGUGUGACUAUGAUUCGAAAAAGUCACACAAAAAAAGGCAUUGUUUCUUGCUUUAAGCUGGGCAUCAUUCACAAGUAAUAUUAUAUAAUUCACAAGUGAUAGGCUAAUAUUGUCACCCAUCAGACUAUUCUUGAUUUAGCCUUGUCUUUACAUAUAAUAAAGUAAUAUAUGUGUGAAAUUUGUUUUGAUUUAGAAGUGACCAUUAUCAUGCACCUGUCUCCAAAUAGGGGCAAGGGAAAAAAUGCAUGUCAUCUAUGUACUUAAAUAGCGAAUGGAGGACAUGUUUCCCGUGGUUAAUUUGUUUAUGCCAGCCAGGUAGGCUAUACUCCUGUUGUAAAGAGAAGCAAUGUGCUUAAUAUUAGGAAAGUUGAUAAAUAAAUAUAGUAGGCCUAGCCUAUAGAAAGCCAAUGGGAUGCUCCUCUUUUUAAUAGAGGCCACCACUCUGUUUUCUCACACAAUUGCAUAGCCUAUAGAAAUAAUGUGCAACAUGAGCUCAUGGGCUCUCAUUAAGUGUUUGAUUAGAUUUUUGAUUACAUUUGCAUUGAUGUCAGAGUGAGAGGGACA
rnacentral:lncRNA from 1 species